rnacentral:rRNA from 1 species
CAAAAACAUUUUUAUUAGUAGUUAUUAAUAAUAAGAUCUGCUCAAUGAUAAUAUAAAUAGCCGCUUUUGUGCUAAGGUAGCAUAAUCAUUUGUCUUUUAAAUGAAGACCAGAACAAAAGAUUUAACAUUUUAAUAAAUAUAUUUCAUUAGAUAAUUUAAAUUAUCUUAAAAGUAAAAAGACUUUUAUUAAUUAGAAAGACGACAAGACCCUAUUGAACUUAACUAUUGUUAAACUGGGGAAGUUAAUAAAUUAUUAUUUUUAUAAAAAUUUUAAAUUAAAAAUGAUCUAAUACUAUUAAUCUAAUGAUCAAGUUACCAUAGGGAUAACAGCGUAAUUUAAUUUUAAAGAUCUUAUAUUAAAAUAUGUUUACGACCUCGAUGUUGAAUUAAUAACCUAAUUAAAGCAAAAGUUAAUAAAGGGAGUCUGUUCGACUUUUAAAAAAUUAC